UUUUUUAAUUGGGGUAGCCCCCAAAAUAUUGGGACAUAUAAAAAAAGAAAAAAAAGAAUAAGUGCACUUGAGUAUAACAAUGGCUGGGUGAGGCCGGUAUAAAUGUCUAUUCUGCACAAGGUACAGACAAGCCUGGUGGGAUCCAUGCCUGGUUCAUUUUAAUAAACGUGAGCUUGUCCAUGUUGGCCGUGGACAGGCGGCUGCGCUUGUCUGUGAUAACCUCAUGCUGAUCGCACGUCCCUGUGAUGGCAAAAACGCAUUCGGAUGUCUGCCCUAUCAAUGCUAUUUUCUGCGCCUACCAUGGUGACCACGGGUAAUGGGGAAUCAGGGUUCGAUUCCAGAGAGGGAGCCUGAGAAACGGCUACUACAUGCAAGGAAGGCAGCAGGUGCGCAAAUUACCCACUCCCGACGCGGGGAGGUAGUGACGAUAAAUAACAAUACACUACUCUUUCAAGGCCCUGUAAUUGUAAUGAGUCCACGUUAAAUCCUUUAACUUGGAUCAAUUGGAGGGCAAGUCUAGUGCAGAGCGACUGACCCGUGCGUGCUGCAGCUGAUA
rnacentral:rRNA from 1 species